rnacentral:rRNA from 1 species
AGCUUGCUCUUGGGUGACGAGUGGCGGACGGGUGAGUAAUGUCUGGGAAACUGCCCGAUGGAGGGGGAUAACUACUGGAAACGGUAGCUAAUACCGCAUAACGUCUUCGGACCAAAGUGGGGGACCUUCGGGCCUCACACCAUCGGAUGUGCCCAGAUGGGAUUAGCUAGUAGGUGGGGUAAUGGCUCACCUAGGCGACGAUCCCUAGCUGGUCUGAGAGGAUGACCAGCCACACUGGAACUGAGACACGGUCCAGACUCCUACGGGAGGCAGCAGUGGGGAAUAUUGCACAAUGGGCGCAAGCCUGAUGCAGCCAUGCCGCGUGUAUGAAGAAGGCCUUCGGGUUGUAAAGUACUUUCAGUGGGGAGGAAGGCGAUGAAGUUAAUAGCUUCGUCGAUUGACGUUACCCGCAGAAGAAGCACCGGCUAACUCCGUGCCAGCAGCCGCGGUAAUACGGAGGGUGCAAGCGUUAAUCGGAAUUACUGGGCGUAAAGCGCACGCAGGCGGUCUGUCAAGUCGGAUGUGAAAUCCCCGGGCUCAACCUGGGAACUGCAUUCGAAACUGGCAGGCUAGAGUCUUGUAGAGGGGGGUAGAAUUCCAGGUGUAGCGGUGAAAUGCGUAGAGAUCUGGAGGAAUACCGGUGGCGAAG